AUGCAGGCUCUGCUUACUCCCCUCUACAGCCAUCUCCUCCAACUGAAAUAUUCUUCUUUGACAUUUCUCACAAACCAUGAGCCUCCUGGCUUCCCUGCUGGAGAGGAACGAUUCCAUCUGGACUGGACCACUUCAUGCAGCCUGGGAGUCUUCUUAUCUUUAAGAACUUCCCAUUCAAGUGGGACCAAGCAGCCAACACAAAGCUGGAAUUUUCUCCUGACGUUGAUGCGCCAUGGGCAUAAUGUAAGUUCACGGGAUGAGGUGUUUGUCUGGAUUCGUAGUCCAAGUGGGUCCUCCGCGGGUUUGGUCUUUCUACCACGCCGAGUGACCUGGCCGAGCUGAGCGCCCCUGCGGGGAGUUAGUGCUGGGCUCGGGCCUCGCGGAUCCGCGCAGCCAGCGAGCUCCGCGCCGCGUCUAGACGCAGCAACUUCUCCCUCUGACCCUCCCUAAGGCUACUAUACUUUGGUUUAUUUUUCUCAGCUUUUCUGUGAAUGUUUUAGUAGCGUGAAAGGGCAAGGCAGGCAGACCUCAGAUUUUUUUCUCCCUUCCCCUCUCAUUAGUCUUUCUUUCUCUGUCGAUCAUUCAACAUCAUGUGUCCUUUCAUUGUCUCAUUGCUUUGUUCAUAGUGCCUUGUGGGGUGGCUGCUGUAAUCCCCAUUUUGCAGAACGUGAAACUGAGGUUUAAGGGACUGGUCCCGAAUGGGCCAAAAUCACUCAGUUAACAACACCGGCACGGAAUCCUCAGUCUUCUGUCUUCAGGGCUCUCAGGGGUGCUAUUUCUCCCGACUGAGGUUGCUGACGGAGAGGAGAGGAAGUGGUGGCUGGGCUGCGAAUCCUGAACAGCUCUCAUCCACCAGUGAAUCAUGGACCCCGAUUAAUAACACAGAAAAUGUUAAGGAAAUAUAUUUCCAUGCAAUUCUUCAUACCUAUAGGACUUUGAGACUUCUGUGGUGUCACAGACGUCAGUGUGAUGUGACCAGGGGAGUCACUGUCUGCAUACACUGAGAAAACCUAUACAAGUCAGACCUGGGCCUAGAAGUGGUUGACACCUGUGUUCAGAUGAUCUGUGUUUCUCUUGUUAGUUGCUGAGCGGAGGGUAGUAGCACAAAGAUGCUUUUAUUUCCUUGCUCCGUAAAUUUUGGCAAGGCAAAGGGGUGUAGGAAAUCAGUUUUGAGUUGGGCUUGAUGGUUCUAUGAAAACUUUAACAUAUGGUUAGUCCUGGAGGUGUUAAAAGGGGAUUGGAAUUUGUGGCUACUCAGCAGCAGCUAGCACGAGAACUCUGCUUCUUGGGAACAAUAAGAAAUAGGGCAGAGGUAAUGGGUAAGACUUGUAGAAGCCUUGGUUGCUCCUUUUGCCUGGCACAUCUCUGGAAUGAUCCCACUCAUCCAGGGCUCUGAAAUGGCUCCUUUCAUUA
rnacentral:lncRNA from 1 species